CUGGUCGCUAGUUGUUGAUGAGUGAAACUAAGCUGUAUGCAAGUACUCUAUGUUUUACAAUGCAGUGGCUAGUGGACUAUAGAGUCCCAAAUGGAUUUGGCAGUGUCAACAGCAACGGAUAGAUUACCAGGUUGUGUAAUAACUAACUCAGUCAGUUGAUAUUACAUACUAUGGUUAUUUGUUGCCGUG
rnacentral:rRNA from 1 species